CGCCGCAUCCCUUUCCCAUUACCUUCUUCAUGCGUUCUGCAGGGAAAACGACACCGUUUCAGUUCGCCAUUCUCUUCUUCAUGCGUUCCGCAGGGAAAACGACACCGUUUCAGUGUUAGGUGUGCCGUUUCCCUCUUCGUUCUACCUUCUUGCCUCAUUUCUUCUUUCUUUCGUUUUGGUUUUUUUCGUUGGGGCAGAGCAUCUUCUCCACGCUUUUGGUUCUUCAAGUGGGUUUGCUUACUUCUUGAUUUGAUGGACAUACACGGUAAGCAUUUUGAUGGCUGUUAGUCCAUUCACCAAGCUUCCUUAUCUUUAUAAUGUGCGUAUGAUGGAGCAGUAUAAGGAAGCACCAUUUGGUGAGCUUUAGUCCUAUUUUUGCUGUUGCAAAUGCAUCAUAUAGGUAUCUCACAUUAAAGUUAUUUCUAUGGAAAUUGAAUGUUGAUGUGUGAUGUAUCUAGCUUUACCAAUAACCUGAUCUAAUUAGGUUCUAUUUGUUUUUAAAUCCAUAGCUAUGAUGAGCGAAAGUAGAAGCAUAUCUAUACUGCUAUAAUAUAUAAACCGCAUCAAUUUCCAUGGGAAAAUUGGCACUGUUGAUCUACAAUGCCAAAUUCAAGGGUAAUUUUGUGAAUGUGGGGGUGUUUGGAGGCUGUUGCUAGAUCAUGAAGGAAAGGUUGGAGUGAAAGAAAGUGUAUAAAUGAAUAUCAGUUUUGGGAAAACAUUUUGACUUGAGGUGGAAGUGGCAGCAUGAACAAUUGAUGCUGAAUUCACGAUUUCCGGAUGAUGGAAAGCACUUGGAAGACCGUUGUGAUCGUACCUUGCUAGAAAUUCAAGUGGUGGUUGGUGGUGGGCCAAGAAAGAGUCUACUGAGAAGUCAGUGGCGCUGAAAUUCUCUAAGGUACUCGGAUUUAGCUUUGGAAGCUGCUUCAACAUUUGUAUGUUCAUAUUCAUCUCUAUGAAAGGCUGAGAAAGUCUUAGCCUCUGUAAAUAUUCUGUAAACUCGGCCAUGAAGAAUAUUUUCAGGUGGAGUGCUUCUUAGAGACUCUUAAUGGAAAGGUAGGAAUUGAGAGUAACAUCUAUAAGGUACAAACAAAAUGUGUAUUAUUAGAAGAGUUUAAUUAGUAUUAUUGAUUAACAAAUAGUAGCUUGAAUAUUUCCUAUAUGAAAAUGUGGGUGUCACUGAAAUUGUGUUUUGCUUUAAAUUUAAGUUAAAAAUUGAAAGCAUGAAAG